AGCAGCAGCCAUAGGGAGGCCAGGCGUGGAGGCGGCACCGGGCUCGGAGCUGGCCAGGGUCCCCUCGCCUAUGGAGCACACAGCCACCACAGGCCCCAGGCCUGGACCUCCCCCUCGGCGGGUGGAGAAUGUUGUGCUACCAGCCAAGGACUGGCUGCCAGGACCUCCUGGGGGCACCGCAGUGUGGGCCACCAGCUCGGAAGCAGAGGUCCCACCAGAUCUAGCGCUCAAUAAGGAGCAGCAGUUGCAGAUCUCCAAGGAGCUGGUCGACAUUCAGAUCACAACCCACCACCUACAGGAGCAGCACGAGGCUGAAAUCUUCCAGCUGAAGAGUGAGAUCCUUUGGCUGGAGAGCCGAGUGCUGGAGCUGGAGCUGCAUGGAGAUCCCACCAGCCAGGGCUGUGCAGUCCCAGUGGAGUCUGACCCCAGGCACCCCCGGGCACCAGCCCAAGAGCUCAGACACAAAGCCCGGGUGCCUGGACACUCUGAUGAUCGCAGAUUCCAGGUGCAGCCCAAGAACGCCGUGAACCCCGAGAACGAGCAGCACAGCCUGGGGAGCGGCCUGCUGGGGGGCCAGGAGCAGCUGCAGGGAGAAGUGAAGUGGGCGCUGGAGCGUCAAGAGGCCCGGCAGCAGGCACUGGAGAUGCGUGUGUGAGUGGCCAUCUCACCUGGGGCCCCAUCCCGGAGCAGAGAGAACUCCUCAUCGUGGGCCUGCUGAGCCUUGCCCCCGUGUCUUCAGGGCAGCCCUGGGCCGGCAGCUGCAGGGAGCCCGAGAGGAGGCCAGGGCAGCCGGGCAGCGACUAGCCACACAGGCUGUGGUGAGGCCCUGCCCUGACUGCUUGGAGACCUGGAGGGUGGGGGUCCCACAAGCUCAGCCGGGGUCCACUCUCAGGACACAGGUUGAGGGCUGCUUCCACCCCAGGUGCUGUGCAGCUGCCGAGGCCAGCUCCAUCAGGCAGAGGCCGAGAACGCCCGGCUGCAGCUGCAGCUCAAGAAACUGAAGGACGAGUAUGUCCUGCGGCUGCAGCACUGCGCCCGGGAGGCAGUGGUGAGCCCUGCAGGAGCACCCUGAGGCCUAGGGAGCCCAAACUUGGCCUGGGUGUGCUGGAUAGCUUCAGGGAGACCCCAGGGCUCUGGCACUGCUCAGCCUGCUGGUGUGGGGGGAUGGUUAGAAAAGAUGGGGGGUG
rnacentral:sRNA from 1 species